rnacentral:rRNA from 1 species
ACGGGGUGCAGCAGGCGCGAAAACUUCACACUGUGCGAAAGCGCGAUGAGGGAAUCCCAAGUGUUUGCUCGUAAGAGUAAACUGUUUCUUUGUUUAAAACGCAGAGAGAGUAAGGGCUGGGUAAGACGGGUGCCAGCCGCCGCGGUAAUACCUGCAGCUCAAGUGGUGAUCAUUAUUAUUGGGCCUAAAACGUCCGUAGCCGGUUUAGUAAAUGCCUGGGUAAAUCGUGCAGCUUAACUAUACGACUUCCGGGUAGACUGCUAAACUUGAGACCGGGAGAGGCUAGAGGUACUCCUGGGGUAGAGGUGAAAUUCUGUAAUCCUAGGGGGACCACCAGUGGCGAAGGCGUCUAGCUAGAACGGGUCUAACGGUGAGGGACGAAGCCCUGGGGCACAAACCGGAUUAGAUACCCGGGUAGUCCAGGGUGUAAACGCUGCUUGCUUGAUGUUAGUUGGGCUCCGAGCCCAACUAGUGUCGGAGAGAAGUUGUUAAGCAAGCUGCCUGGGAAGUACGGUCGCAAGGCUGAAACUUAAAGGAAUUGGCGGGGGAGCACAGCAACGGGUGGAGCGUGCGGUUUAAUUGGAUUCAACGCCGGAAAACUCACCGGAGGCGACGGUUACAUGAAGGCCAGGCUGAUGACCUUGCCAGAUUUUCCGAGAGGUGGUGCAUGGCCGCCGUCAGUUCGUACCGUA